rnacentral:rRNA from 1 species
GAUGAACGCUAGCGGCAGGCCUAACACAUGCAAGUCGAGGGGUAUAGGGAGCUUGCUUCCUAGAGACCGGCGCACGGGUGCGUAACGCGUAUGCAAUCUACCUUGUACAGGGGAAUAGCCCAGAGAAAUUUGGAUUAAUGCCCCAUAGUAUUAUUAAAUGGCAUCCUUUAAUAAUUAAAGUUCCAACGGUACAAGAUGAGCAUGCGUCCUAUUAGUUAGUUGGUGUGGUAACGGCAUACCAAGACGAUGAUAGGUAGGGGUCCUGAGAGGGAGAUCCCCCACACUGGUACUGAGACACGGACCAGACUCCUACGGGAGGCAGCAGUGAGGAAUAUUGGACAAUGGGCGCAAGCCUGAUCCAGCCAUGCCGCGUGCAGGAAGACGGUCCUAUGGAUUGUAAACUGCUUUUUAUACAGGAAGAAACACUGGUUCGUGAACCAGCUUGACGGUACUGUAAGAAUAAGGAUCGGCUAACUCCGUGCCAGCAGCCGCGGUAA